AAAAAUAUCUACAUAGAACUCUCUCUCUCUCCGUGAAAAAAAAGAACUCUCCUCUCCUCCCGUACGAUCCCCACCAGGCUCCUCAUACACAUCCGCCAUUUCUUCCGAUUUGCCGCCGGCGAAGGACGGCGUAUCUGUGCCCCAUCAGGAAACUAAUCCUCACGCUAUCCCAGAUCCACAUGUCGCUUCUUUUCUCCUGAUUUUUCUUCCUUGGUGGUGGCACAUGUGGCUGGGUGAGUGCGUGGAUCUCGGCGAACUCGUCGACUCUGGCAACGCGGUCACGGAGAUGUCCAGUGGGAACGCGGGCUGCGCUGCUCAAACUUGUCGUGCCCGGAGGCUCUGGAUGUUGGGGCCGCGGAGGCAUUGAGGGAGCUCGCGGAGGAAGAAAUAUCUGCAAGACGUGAGUAUCUUCUGUGAGUGGCUGUUAGUUGUUGCCCUCCUGCUGCCUGGACUUCUACCAAAUCACAAAGGGCCACUUUGAGUCGCUUGGUGACAUAAUGAUUAUAGGAGCAUCACCUGCAAACCUACCUUCAGUUUUAGCUCGUGGAUUGGAAUUCCUGGGAAGAUCAUGUUGCUAAGGAACUCUGUUGCACACAUAUUCUCCAUUGUGUUGUAAUUCAUUGUUGCCUUGCACACAGUGUCCAAGUAUAGGAUUGCUCUUUCUUUGAGAAAUUCAUGGUUACGAUAGUUUUGCUGCAAGUUUGGAUCGUAAUAUCCAUUCUGCAAAUUCGGCCACAUUUUGCUUUUCUAUUGGAUCUUCUGACAGACUUUAGCCGCAUGUUUUCAGUUAGUCUAAAUAUUUUGAAGUACUUCCAUAGGAGCAAAGCUGCAACGCCAGAUGAUGCUAACGCAAGAACUUUCUUUCCCUCUGACCGUAGCUUCGUUGUAAUUGCUUUCCAUAGAUAAAUUUUGCCUGUGCCACCGUAGCCUUCUACAAAUAUCUAUUUUCCAAGUCCUUUCGCAGCUGAUUCCAUUAUUGCAUCAAAGGUCAUUUUCUGGCCAUGGUUAACAUUGCUUAUUAUGGUUUAGUGCUCAUUCUUUAGUGCCUCCAUGCCAUAGCUAAGUUUUUCGUUUAUCAUUCUGUUCCCAAGUUCUUCAAGUUCUGUAGCAUUUGGUAGUUCUGUAUCUAGAUAGUCCUUUAGUGUCUUUCCUUCUUGCCUCAUUAGUUUCUCUUUCUCAAUCAGAGCAUAAGCCUUUUUCUAUGAAUCAGUGAGCUGCAGCAUAGGAAAGUUAAGGAUAAUUCUUCUUUUGUACUGGAUAUCUUUAGACAGUGCCUCCCAUGUUGAUUCCCUCAACAUCUUUGGGCUGGUCACCUCACAAUGGCAUAAAAUUGUGGUGAAUAAUUGUCGUAAUUGUGUCCCUGAGCCCCAGCAUUAUGCUUCAUUGAUGCAUUCAAUCCACUCACUGUCGUCAUCAAGAAAUCCAAGCGCUUGGCAUGCUUAUUUGUAUGUUGGGUGAACAACUCCAUUAACGAUUCCAAUAUCCUGAAUGAUGUGCAUCCUUUCUUGGUGUUUAGAAGCAUUCUCAUAUAAUACCGGUUGCCACUUGCAGAGUGUGCAUAGUAGAUUCUUCCAAUAGCGAAGCCCCUUUUCGGCUCCCCAAGUUUUGGUUUCGCUUUUCCAUACAAAUUUUGAUGGGAAUUAUGCAUAGGUUAAUUCUUUUCCCGCCUCAUGUAUUUUGUUUGCCUCCAUCCACUCAGUGAACUUAGUACUCGUGGAUCCUGGCCUUCUACUAUCUUAUCAAUGUCAGUCAAGUCCAGAAAAAUAACUUCUUGAUCAUUUUCAAUGUGGAAUGGUAGUCUCUUGACUGGUGGAUCAUGAUGGUGUGUAGAUCAAACUGGAAUAUCCGCUAGUAUGCUCCAGUUGUUGAUAUGUAUCUCAUCUCUAGGUACUUGAUUGACCUGGGCAUGUUGCACCACUCGACAUUUAUGUGACCUUGGAAUUGACCAAAAGGUUGCGGUUGUAUGGUACGACAAAUCUGUUUUUGAGCAUUGCUCCUCCCUUUUUGAUCUUCCUUCCAUUGUCUCACCUUCUAUAUACUGGAAACCCAUCCUCAUGGAUUGUGGUAUCGACAUUGUAUCCUUUUGGGAAGUGUUUAGUGCAUCUGUUGUCUAUCAUGCAUGGUGACUUUGUAUUUGCCUCUCUGCAAGGCCCGUGCAUCAUGAAAUUUUCAACAGCUUCAUAUCCGUCCGGAUCAACAUCUUUGUCCGAGAUCUCCGCACUGAUUGUUUGGUCGAUUUCUGAUGAUCCUUUGCACAUAUAUCAUAUCUGGGCUAAUAAGCUCAUCAGUGGCCAAAAGUGCUUUGGCGUCACUUCUUCCGAGGUCGAUUGGAGUAGCUGGGCAUGGCUUCGUCAUGCGUUGAGUGUGCUUUGGCGUGACUUCGUCGGACGUAGAGUGAAGCGGCUGGAGGUGGCUUUGCGUAUCAAACGUCGAGUUGCCUAGUUGCAUGUGAUGUCUUCAAGCCAUCUGAGUUGCCGAGUCGCGUGUGAUGUCUUCAAGCCAUCUUGGUUGCCGACUUCCAAAUUUUUGGUGUUGCUUUUGCGGCCGGCUGUACUUGUUUAUAUAUGGGUGGAGGUGCGUGGAUUGAGGUGGCCGAGACCGUGAAAGAAGAUCGGAAACCUGUCUUUUUUUCAUGUCUUGUUUCCUGUUUUGGAACUUCCUCACGUGAGGUGUGGUUAGGUCCAAUCGUUGUCCUUAUUUGUUUAGGUUUCCUACUAUUUUUGCUUCCUUGACCCAUUGAUUAAAAGAUUUUUUUUUUCUGCAGGCUAGUUGAUGAUUUGGAUGGAACCUAUGUGCACUAUUUGUACGUGGCAUGUUAUACUAAUUGUACAUGUACAUAUUUUUA